GUGGGCUCCCACUGGUCCUUGGCUGGACGGCCAGAAACGGAGAAUCCACAGAGAUUCAGCGGAAGCCCUCACUACUUUGGACCGGGACCCUCAACUCUAGUAAUAAUGUGCACGUCUGAGACCUUUUGUGUGUCUGACCGUUUUGAGUUGCCAUCCUGCCCAUGGCUGGGAGUUUCCAGGAAGAUAGUCGGCUGAUGUAGCAUCUUCAGAGUCUUAAAUGAUACUGUGCAACCAUCAUGAUGUCAGAGAACUCAACAACUCUAGCUGUAACAAAAGGAAAAGCUGAGACGGAUCUAAGUCUAACUAUGGAUGUUCUCUCCACAAUCUCCUAAUGAGCAAAGUCUUGGAAAAGGUGAAGAGCUGGGUAGUAGACUAAAGUCCUGAGGCUGACUUCAUCUGCCCUGGGCUAAGAGGGAGGCUGAGACAGAGAAGGCAUUCUCUGACAGCCUGGUGCUGGCCUGGCACUACCAUCAAGACUUCGGUGUUGAGAGGAGCCAGUAUGACACUGACAACUAGACUGGGUUUUCUCUUGAUGAGCACGAACAGUUUCACAAAAUACCAACACAACAAGACAAAGCCUCCACUGCGACAGAUCAAGACAAAAACAAGACCAGUCCAUCAUGACUGAACACAGACAAAAACAAGAACAUUAUCCAAACAGAAAUUACGAAAUAUCCUCAUCCUGGCUAAUAUGAUCAUUAUGCUCUUUUAUCAAUUAUAGUUUUAGUUUUGCUCCUUUUUCCCCCCACAUUUCAGAUAAAA